AUUGCAGUAGGGAAUCUUCGGCAAUGGACGAAAGUCUGACCGAGCAACGCCGCGUGAGUGAAGAAGGUUUUCGGAUCGUAAAACUCUGUUGUUAGAGAAGAACAAGGACGUUAGUAACUGAACGUCCCCUGGCGGUAUCUAACCAGAAAGCCACGGCUAACUACGUGCCAGCAGCCGCGGUAAUACGUAGGUGGCAAGCGUUGUCCGGAUUUAUUGGGCGUAAAGCGAGCGCAGGCGGUUUCUUAAGUCUGAUGUGAAAGCCCCCGGCUCAACCGGGGAGGGUCAUUGGAAACUGGGAGACUUGAGUGCAGAAGAGGAGAGUGGAAUUCCAUGUGUAGCGGUGAAAUGCGUAGAUAUAUGGAGGAACACCAGUGGCGAAGGCGGCUCUCUGGUCUGUAACUGACGCUGAGGCUCGAAAGCGUGGGGAGCAAACAGGAUUAGAUACCCUGGUAGUCCACGCCGUAAACGAUGGGCGCUAGUUGUGCGAACCUUCCACGGUUUGUGCGACGCAGCUAACGCAUUAAGCGCCCCGCCUGGGGAGUACGAUCGCAAGAUUAAAACUCAAAGGAAUUGACGGAAUC
rnacentral:rRNA from 1 species